CUUAUUCACACCCCACCACGCUUGCGGUGGCAGCAGGGGGGACAAACUCGCUAGAUUUUGUAGCGACGGAAGUGGAGUUAGUUCUGUAAUACAAGGGGGACAGUCAUAGAGGCAGCACCGUCGACCCUUCUCUUUUCCGCUCUAAUCCCCUUGUCAUCAAAUUAAUUAUUGGCGAUUUGUUGGACCUGUAACGACCUGCGACGUAGAAUUAGAGCAGAGAAUUUGUAGCGACUAAUUUCAAGAUGGUACGUAGGUGUUGUGUGCCCAAAUGCAAAUCCAAAAAGGAUACACCCAUGCAUCGAUUUCCACAAGAUGUUAAUAAAGUAGAACAAUGACUCAAAACAAUAACACGAACUGAUUUGAUAGGUGCAUCAAGAAAAGUAUUGGACGAAUUACGGAUUUGUACUGUACAUUUUCCAGAUGAAAUGAUUAACAUUUAUACCAAAAGGCGCGUUUUAAAACCAGAUGCUAUUCCAGCUUUAGCCAUUAAUUCAAUUAUUGAAACAGAGACUGUAAAUGCUAAUGCAGAAAUUAUUAAUAUAGAUAUAAAUAAUGAUAAUUGUGCUAUGUCAUAUAGUAAUGUUAGUAAUGUCAAUAACGUCAAUAGUAUCAAUAAUGUCAGUAACGUCAGUAAUAUCAAUAACAUCAGUAACGUCAGUAAUAUCAAUAACAUCAGUAACGUCAGUAAUGUUAAUAAUAGUAAUGUUAAUAAUACUAAUGUCAGUAACGUAGCAAUGGAAAAUGUACAGUGCAUUCCUAAUUUUAUGCCAAUAUUGAAAAAAUCUAUUGAUCAUGAAGAAGUAAGAUACCUGAAAAAUGACAUAAGAAGAUUGAAGAAACAUGUAAACAAAAAGAAGAAACUUAUUGAAAAGCACGCCAGGGAAAAAAAGAAAUCACGCACAAAUAAAUGGGAUAGCAUCACUGAAGAUUUGACGAAGUCGCAGAAAAUAUUUUUCGAUAUCAUAUAAAAAAACUUAAAACGUGCACCAGAGGGGCCAGAUGUUAAAAUAAAAGAUGCAAUAGGUAUAAUAAACAUGGAAAAAAGAAAGGAACAGAUCAUUCAGAAGAGAGGAGUAAAAGAAGAAAAAAGCAAACUCUGACAAUCAAAACACUUGGAUAAGAUGAUAAAAAAUAUGGCUGUUAAGCAGAUGGAAAAAUCUACAGGCUAAGGCCCGUUGCACACAAGAUGCUUCAACGAGGCAAAGUAGUCAAUCAUUCUUUCAUUUCGCUGUGAAACGAAAGAAUGAUUGACUACUUGCCGAGCGUAACGCGUUGAGGCAUCCUGUGUGCAAUAGCCAUAACGGAUAUUUUAAAAAGAACUUAAUUUGCAUUACAUGUAUGUUGCAUUACAUAUUAUAUUUCUGUCAUAUACUUCAUUUUGUAUUUCUGAAAUAUAUUGACAUUAUUGUAAUAAAUACAUUUAUUAUGUGUC